GCCACCUCUGCCACUGGAUUCGGGAUAUUGUUUGACAUCAAUACGGGCGAGUUUACCUGCAUUUGAAAACGAAAACCAAUACACCUCGUACCUUUACAUCUCGAACCUAAUGCCCAGAACCAUUUUUAACUUGUUUUCCAUGGACUUUAUUGAAGGGAGAAAAACAUGACAUCACGAAUUGAAGAGAAGAACCGGUGAGCUGUAAUGUCACCACAUUGACGCAGUACAUUCAACAAAGAUAGCGUAGUAUUGUGUAACUUUGGACCC